rnacentral:tRNA from 1 species
GCGGGAAUAGCUUAGUUGGUAGAGCACGACCUUGCCAAGGUCGGGGUCGCGGAUUCGAGUUCCGUUUCCCGCU